GACGAACCGUGCAAACGUUAUUCGGAAUCACUGGGCUUAAAGGGCGCGUAGGCGGGCUGUCAAGUCUGGGGUGAAAUCCCGCGGCUCAACCGUGGAACUGCCUCAGAUACUGACGGCCUCGAGGGAGGUAGGGGCAUGCGGAACUGUAGGUGGAGCGGUGAAAUGCGUUGAUAUCUACAGGAACUCCGGUGGCGAAAGCGGCGUGCUGGACCGCUUCUGACGCUGAGGCGCGAAAGCGUGGGGAGCAAACAGG
rnacentral:rRNA from 1 species